rnacentral:rRNA from 1 species
UGCGUAGGCGGAAAAUUAAGUCAGUGAUGAAAUCCUGCAGCUUAACUGUAGAACUGUUAUUGAUACUGAUUUUCUUGAAUUCAGUUGAGGUAGGCGGAAUGUGUAAUGUAGCGGUGAAAUGCUUAGAUAUUACACAGAACACCGAUUGCGAAGGCAGCUUACUAAGCUGAUAUUGACGCUGAGGCACGAAAGCGUGGGGAGCGAACAGGAUUAGAUACACUGGUAGUCC